GAGUUUGAUCAUGGCUCAGGACGAACGCUGGCGGCGUGCUUAAGGCAUGCAAGUCGUACGAGAACGUCACUUCGGUGGCAAGUAAAGUGGCGCACGGGUGAGUAACGCGUGGGUAAUGUGCCCUUAGGUUUGGGAUAACCCCGGGAAACCGGAGCUAAUACCGAAUAAGACCACGAUGACCUCGGUCGAUGUGGGAAAAGGUGGCCUAUCGAAGAAGCCAUCGCCAAAGGAUCAGCCCGCGUUUGAUUAGCUUGUUGGUGAGGUAACGGCUCACCAAGGCUCCGAUCAAUAGCUGGUCUGAGAGGAUGAUCAGCCACACUGGAACUGAGACACGGUCCAGACUCCUACGGGAGGCAGCAGUCGGGAAUAUUGGGCAAUGGAGGCAACUCUGACCCAGCAACGCCGCGAGAAGGAUGAAGGCCUUCGGGUCGUAAACUUCUGUCGAGAGGGAAGAAACGCGUACGGUUAAUAUCCGUGCGCCUGACGGUACCUCCAAAGGAAGCACCGGCUAACUCCGUGCCAGCAGCCGCGGUAAUACGGAGGGUGCAAGCGUUGUUCGGAUUUAUUGGGCGUAAAGCGAGUGUAGGCGGUUUGACAAGUCGGGUGUGAAAGCCCAGGGCCCAACCCUGGAACUGCACCCGAUACUGUCAG
rnacentral:rRNA from 1 species